AGUAAAAGUCGUAACAAGGUCUCCGUAGGUGAACCUGCGGAGGGAUCAUUACAAGUGACCCCGGUCUAACCACCGGGAUGUUCAUAACCCUUUGUUGUCCGACUCUGUUGCCUCCGGGGCGACCCUGCCUUCGGGCGGGGGCUCCGGGUGGACACUUCAAACUCUUGCGUAACUUUGCAGUCUGAGUAAACUUAAUUAAUAAAUUAAAACUUUUAACAACGGAUCUCUUGGUUCUGGCAUCGAUGAAGAACGCAGCGAAAUGCGAUAAGUAAUGUGAAUUGCAGAAUUCAGUGAAUCAUCGAAUCUUUGAACGCACAUUGCGCCCCCUGGUAUUCCGGGGGGCAUGCCUGUUCGAGCGUCAUUUCACCACUCAAGCCUCGCUUGGUAUUGGGCAUCGCGGUCCGCCGCGUGCCUCAAAUCGACCGGCUGGGUCUUCUGUCCCCUAAGCGUUGUGGAAACUAUUCGCUAAAGGGUGUUCGGGAGGCUACGCCGUAAAACAACCCCAUUUCUAAGGUUGACCUCGGAUCAGGUAGGGAUACCCGCUGAACUUAAGCAUAUCAAUAAGCGGAGGAAAAGAAGCCAACAGGGAUUGCCCCAGUAACG
rnacentral:rRNA from 1 species